rnacentral:lncRNA from 1 species
GAUAGCUGACAUAAUAAACUUGGAAAACCUCCAUCCUUUGAAAUAGGUUUAGUAAGCCCAUCAGCACUUAUGUCACCUUGUCUCCUCUCGACAUAAAAAGUAGAUCAUGUGACAUGUCGAAGGUGCUAAUAAAAAGUUCUCUUCUUUUUUUUUGUGUGUGUGUGUGUGUGUGUGUGUGUGAGAGAGAGAGAGAGAGAGAGAGAGAGAGACGAGCGAGCGAGCUAUACCCACUAGUGCAUGUACAUACAUUGUGCAUCACAAGCUCUAUAAUUGGACUAAUUAUAUUCCGCAUUGCAUGCACCACCUUAGUCAUGCACCAUGCCAAUUAGGUCGUUCUAUUCCUAUGGACCAAUUACCGAGACAAACAUAUAAUGAAUGGGGCCUACAGAAAAGAGAGGACCUUAUUGGUGUGGUGCAAUGCUGCAUGGUCCACAUGGCACAACAUAUAGAAUGAGAACCUUGCUGCUCUUUAAGAGAUCUAAGUUUCGAUGAAUGGAGAAUGUGGGUGUUACCCACUUGAAAACGUACUUUUAAGUUUGGCAAGCUCUUGCAUUCUUGUGGUAGGAGCACCAUUUCUUAUGAUGUACUCAAUCAUUUUCCCACCAUCAACUCCGAGGACCGUGCCCAUCAAUCA